GCCGCGAGCUCCUGGCGGCGGCGGGAUGGAGGCGGCGGCCGAGCCUGGAAACCUGGCUGGCGUCAGGCACAUCAUCCUGGUCCUCUCAGGAAAGGGGGGCGUUGGGAAAAGCACCAUCUCCACGGAGCUGGCCCUGGCACUGCGCCAUGCAGGCAAGAAGGUGAGCGCCCUGCCCCUCACUGGGCGGAGCCCCGGGCAGCUGCCCGCAUCCCGGCGGAGGCCUGGCGGUGCCCCUGGCCUAGGCUGUGCCGCUCCUUGCAGGUGGGAAUCCUGGAUGUGGACCUGUGUGGCCCCAGUAUCCCCCGCAUGCUCGGGGCGCAGGGCAGGGCUGUGCACCAGUGCGACCGUGGCUGGGCACCCGUCUUCCUGGACCGGGAGCAGAGCAUCUCGCUCAUGUCUGUGGGCUUCCUGCUGGAGAAGCCGGACGAGGCCGUGGUGUGGAGAGGCCCCAAGAAAAACGCGCUGAUAAAGCAGUUUGUGUCCGACGUGGCCUGGGGGGAGCUGGACUACCUGGUGGUGGACACGCCCCCUGGGACCUCCGAUGAGCACAUGGCCACCAUAGAAGCCCUGCGUCCCUACCAGCCCCUGGGGGCCCUCGUGGUCACCACGCCCCAGGCGGUGUCUGUGGGGGACGUGAGGCGCGAGCUGACCUUCUGUAGGAAGACGGGCUUGCGGGUGAUGGGAAUCGUGGAGAAUAUGAGCGGCUUCACCUGCCCACACUGCGCAGAGUGCACCAGCGUCUUCUCCAGGGGCGGCGGAGAGGAGCUGGCCCAGCUCGCCGGGGUGCCCUUCUUAGGCUCCGUGCCCCUGGACCCUGCGCUCAUGAGGACCCUGGAGGAGGGCCACCACUUCAUCCAGGAGUUCCCCGGGAGCCCCGCCUUCGCUGCACUCACCUCCAUAGCCCAGAAGAUUCUGGACGCGACGCCCGCGUGCCUCCCCUGACUAAGGCCACCUUGCAGCCGCUUUCCAGGGCCACCAAGGGCUCUGCUCCAGCC
rnacentral:sRNA from 1 species